rnacentral:rRNA from 1 species
UGCCUCAAAAGAGGGGGGACAACAGUUGGAAACGACUGCUAAUACCGCAUAAGCCCACGGUGCCGCAUGGCACAGAGGGAAAAGGAGCAAUCCGCUUUGAGAUGGCCUCGCGUCCGAUUAGCUAGUUGGUGAGGUAAUGGCCCACCAAGGCAACGAUCGGUAGCCGGACUGAGAGGUUUGAACGGCCACAUUGGGACUGAGACACGGCCCAGACUCCUACGGGAGGCAGCAGUGGGGAAUAUUGCACAAUGGGGGAAACCCUGAUGCAGCGACGCCGCGUGGAGGAAGAAGGUCUUCGGAUUGUAAACUCCUGUUGUUGGGGAACGAUAAUGACGGUACCCAACAAGGAAGUGACGGCUAACUACGUG